AUGGCUAAGUGAAGUGUCGGCAGGCGUCGAAAAUGGCUAGAAAUGGCAGAUUUUUCUUGCCGCCGAUCAUGGAGUUUCCGGUGACCAUUUGCGGCGUUCUUAGGCUCAAAAUGAUCAGCAACUUCUGGGCUUUCUUUUCCGACCAUCGCCAUCCCUUGAGGCUGCCGGAAUUGCAAAAUUCGAUGAGGUGAAAAAAGUAGGGGCAGCCGGAAUUUUGAACUUUUCUGGUGAGCUCCGGUGAGGGAUGGAUGAUCGAAGGGCAUAUCCAGACUCUACUCAGCUCAAGCUUUCUAAUGGCACCGGUUUCGUGGCGAUCGGACUCCGUUUGAAAAUCGAUGGCUGAGAUCGUCCGUAAAUCUCUCUGAAUGAUCGGGGGUCAGAUCGAAAGAUAAGAAGCUGGGAUCGUCAUCAGUGCAUCGUUUCGAGUCCGUUGGUGCGUUCGGAUCGUCAAUCGGACUCCGACGGCUAGAGGCGAGUCGACCAAGCGAUCAAGCGUCUCGGUCUUAGACCCAUUAUAUGGGGGGCAAAUAUCAGUAAAUUAGGGGAGGUUCUGCCGAAUAUGGGACGCCAGUAGAACAUGCCACCUGAUGGGUUGCAUCAGGACCGCGUGUGCACCGGUAUGAAUCAGAGACAGAAAAUAAGGGGUAAAGGUUUGUAAAUUUUAAAAGGUAAAUCUAGGACUUACCCUGGUCGAGCAUUACUCUCUAAGCUGAGUAGAAUGAGUUUGCCGGAGUAAAGGUCCUUGGUCGAGUAUUACUUUCUAGGCGUCGGCUUAUUUGGAAACCUAAGUGACCGGACUUGAUUUAAGGACCUUGGUCAAGCUUCGCUCUUUGGGCGCCAGUCUUAUUGGAGUAAAAGAGCCGAAAGGUAAAUACUGAUAGUGAUAAUUAAGUGACCGGACUUGAGUUAAGGACCCUGAUCGAGCUUCGCUCUCUGGGCACCAGUUCUGUUGGAAUGAGAGAGUCGAGAUGUUAGUGUUGCGAUUAGCGUUCUACUGAAGCACUUUGUCUCGUAGUAUGUGAAAGUUAUUUUUAUUUAAGCAUGGCAUGACACAUAUAUUUUUGCAUGACUUAACGUUUAUUUCAAAUUAGAUAAAUGUGUUAUAAAAGUGUUUGUAAUUAUUUUUGGAUA